rnacentral:rRNA from 1 species
GGUUGACCUCGGAUCAGCGUAGGAAUACCCGCUGAACUUAAGCAUAUCUAAGGGGGGGGGAAACAUAUCAUACGGUGGAAGUACCAUGGUUAACAAUUUGAAAGUUCCAAGCACGACUUUUGAGGUCCAAUGCACGAAGUGUGAGCUUCCAGGUCACUAAUAUCGAGGUCCCAUGGGACAGCGUGCAGUACCCAGUGGUAGUUAAAGCAAGUUCAAUAAAGCGAAGAAA